rnacentral:rRNA from 1 species
GAUGAACGCUGGCGGCGUGCCUAAUACAUGCAAGUCGAGCGAACGGACGAGAAGCUUGCUUCUCUGAUGUUAGCGGCGGACGGGUGAGUAACACGUGGAUAACCUACCUAUAAGACUGGGAUAACUUCGGGAAACCGGAGCUAAUACCGGAUAAUAUUUUGAACCGCAUGGUUCAAAAGUGAAAGACGGUCUUGCUGUCACUUAUAGAUGGAUCCGCGCUGCAUUAGCUAGUUGGUAAGGUAACGGCUUACCAAGGCAACGAUGCAUAGCCGACCUGAGAGGGGGAUUCGCCAACACGGAAACGAGGAAACGUUCCAGACUCUUAGGGAAGGCAGAGGAGGGAAAUCUUCCGAAAUGGGCGAAAGCCUGCCGGAGAAACGCGGCGUGGUGAAUGAAGGUCUUCGGUUCGUAAAACCCUGUAAUAGGGAAAAAACAUAGGUGUAGGUAACGGUGAAAAUUUGACGGUACCUAAUCAGAAAGCCACGGCUAACUACGUG